CAGAACAGUCCCAGGGAGAAGACUCCCUC
rnacentral:piRNA from 1 species